CUUGCUAAGUUUGAUGGCGACCGGCGCACGGGUGAGUAACACGUAUCCAACCUGCCGAUAACUCGGGGAUAGCCUUUCGAAAGAAAGAUUAAUACCCAUGGUAUAAUAAAACCGCAUGGUUUAAUUAUUAAAGAAUUUCGGUUAUCGAUGGGGAUGCGUUCCAUUAGGCAGUUGGUGAGGUAACGGCUCACCAAACCUUCGAUGGAUAGGGGUUCUGAGAGGAAGGUCCCCCACAUUGGAACUGAGACACGGUCCAA
rnacentral:rRNA from 1 species